rnacentral:rRNA from 1 species
GACGAACGCUGGCGGUCGUGCUUAACACAUGCAAGUCGAACGGUGAAGCCUUCGGGUGGAUCAGUGGCGAACGGGUGAGUAACACGUGAGCAAUCUGCCCUUGACUCUAGGAUAACUUCGGGAAACCGGAGCUAAUACCGGAUAUGACAUCUGGCCGCAUGGGUCUGGGUGUGGAAAGAUUUAUCGGUCAAGGAUGAGCUCGCGGCCUAUCAGCUUGUUGGUGGGGAAUGGCCCACCAAGGCGACGACGGGUAGCCGGCCUGAGAGGGCGACCGGCCACACUGGGACUGAGACACGGCCCAGACUCCUACGGGAGGCAGCAGUGGGGAAUAUUGCGCAAUGGGCGGAAGCCUGACGCAGCGACGCCGCGUGAGGGAUGAAGGCCU